UCUACUUCCACGGUGGCGCCUUUUGCGUCGAAUCCGCCUUCUCCUUUUUCGUCCACCGCUAUCUCAACAUCUUGGCCUCAGAAGCCAACAUAAUAGCCAUCUCCGUCGACUUCAGACUCCUCCCACACCACCCUAUCCCUGCUGCCUACGAAGACGGUUGGACCACCCUCAAAUGGAUUGCUUCCCACGCCAACAACACCAACACCACCAACCCGGAGCCAUGGCUACUCAACCACGCCGACUUCACCAAAGUCUACGUAGGAGGUGAAACCAGCGGUGCUAACAUCGCACACAACCUGCUUUUGCGUGCAGGUAACGAAUCCCUCC
rnacentral:misc_RNA from 1 species